rnacentral:rRNA from 1 species
GGGGAGCAAAACAGGAUUAGAUACCCUGGUAGUCCACGCCGUAAACGAUGUCGAUUUGGAGGUUGUGCCCUUGAGGCGUGGCUUCCGGAGCUAACGCGUUAAAUCGACCGCCUGGGGAGUACGGCCGCAAGGUUAAAACUCAAAUGAAUUGACGGGGGCCCGCACAAGCGGUGGAGCAUGUGGUUUAAUUCGAUGCAACGCGAAGAACCUUACCUGGUCUUGACAUCCACAGAACUUACCAGAGAUGCUUUGGUGCCUUCGGGAACUGUGAGACAGGUGCUGCAUGGCUGUCGUCAGCUCGUGUUGUGAAAUGUUGGGUUAAGUCCCGCAACGAGCGCAACCCUUAUCCUUUGUUGCCAGCGGUUAGGCCGGGAACUCAAAGGAGACUGCCAGUGAUAAACUGGAGGAAGGUGGGGAUGACGUCAAGUCAUCAUGGCCCUUACGACCAGGGCUACACACGUGCUACAAUGGCAUAUACAAAGAGAAGCGACCUCGCGAGAGCAAGCGGACCUCAUAAAGUAUGUCGUAGUCCGGAUUGGAGUCUGCAACUCGACUCCAUGAAGUCGGAAUCGCUAGUAAUCGUAGAUCAGAAUGCUACGGUGAAUACGUUCCCGGGCCUUGUACACACCGCCCGUCACACCAUGGGAGUGGGUUGCAAAAGAAGUAGGUAGCUUAACCUUCGGGA